UGAUGAUUGAGGAUAUAGCAAAAAUACUGUCGAUCUCAAUGAGUCUGUCUUUGACAUCAGUACCAAGAUAAUUUUGUAUGCAACCAAACAAAUUCUUUCAUAAGGGCAUCAAAUAUCUUAUCCAAUGGUGGGACCACUAUAUCCAGUGCCUUGGUGAUUACCAGGUGGCCCCAUGGUGGCUCACCAGUCUGGCGCAGACAGUGAGUUGCAUCGGAGAUCGAACCGGGGGAGAUUUUCGCCCUUUUUGUAGGACUUGUUCCUAUAGUUCCGUUUACCAGUUAGGUAUCUUGUGGAUUGGCAGGAUCUGCUGAACCACCAACAGGUCUGCCUUGUCUGGCUGACUAGUGGUUGAGUUACCCUGGUAAAUUCCUUAUGGAAGAGCGCUGUGAUAACGGUAG
rnacentral:lncRNA from 1 species